rnacentral:rRNA from 1 species
AUUGAACGCUGGCGGCAUGCCUUACACAUGCAAGUCGAACGGCAGCGCGGACUUCGGUCUGGCGGCGAGUGGCGAACGGGUGAGUAAUACAUCGGAACGUACCCUGUUGUGGGGGAUAACUAGUCGAAAGAUUAGCUAAUACCGCAUACGACCUGAGGGUGAAAGUGGGGGACCGCAAGGCCUCACGCAGCAGGAGCGGCCGAUGUCUGAUUAGCUAGUUGGUGGGGUAAAGGCCCACCAAGGCGACGAUCAGUAGCUGGUCUGAGAGGACGAUCAGCCACACUGGGACUGAGACACGGCCCAGACUCCUACGGGAGGCAG